rnacentral:lncRNA from 1 species
AGGACGUCGAGGGCUCGGGACGCCUUGCUGGCUGGCGACCUGGCGCGUGGAGCUGGGGACCGGGAUGAGGCGACAGGCUCAGUCAGUGACAAUCGGAGCGGCCGGGCCCACUUGCACGAUCCCUGGAUUGGCGCGACCUCCGGGGUUGAAGGGGGCGGGGCGAGCGGAGCGCGCGUCACGUGACUCCCGGGCUGCGCUUGGAGCUGGGUCUCUGCGACUCCAAGGCUUGGGGUUCGAGUCUGUACCCACAAAUCCUUUGUGUGCUGCGGUUUAAAAAAACCACAGAUGAUGGUGCUGGAUCAUCGCUAGUUAAAGUGCUGGAUAUGCCCAAGGUCACAUGGCCUAAGAAAAACUGCUCUCCCUUCCAAGGACCCAGCAGUCUUUAGACCAGCUCAAGUCUCCGUCCUGAAACUCGAGUCUGAGUUUCACUGGUCUGGAAACACUCAGCAGCAAACACCAGCCCCUCACGACAGAGUUGCAGCUUACUCUCUGGAUCCACGAUGCUCAGGACUUUCUUUAGCACCAGUGAAUGGCUGGGUAAAAGAACAAGGAAAACAGGCUGAUGCCCUCAUGCUGGCAAUUCCCUGGAAUAGCACAGAUGUCUAAGUCGCACUCAGGCCUGAGUUCCAGCAAGUACCGCGGGCGGUGACUGCACCACUGUAACAGACGGAAUUGAUGGGAAAAUGCCUACUUCCCCAAGGACCCUGAGUGGCUCUUGCUGCCCUGACUGCGCCCUGGGAGUUGUCUUCAGGGUCCCUCAGAAGCCCUCACAAUCUACAACUACAAGAGAAACUCUUGCUUCAGCAAGGCAUAUCUGAGGCGCUUCUCUGGAAUUUAUGCCAGUGACCAUCCUGAGUGGCCCGGGGAGUGGUUGGACAGCUGGGUGGAUUUUGGAGUCCCAAUCCUGGAGAGCAAGUCUCGAUUCUUGUUCUCCACACGUCACCGGAAAGCAUCCAGGCUCAGCGCACUUCUCCGUUCCUCGCUGCUUCUUACCUUACUUCUGAUCACGAGCUCCCUUCUGUUUUGAAUUCCUUGGAGCCCGUCUCCCUUCAUUGGACAUACAACUGUAUGCAAUCUCAGUUUUGAUACAACUUUCCCAGCUUGUGAUGUAUAUUUCUCUAGUUUUCUUUGAACCCCCCCAGUGUGAAACAUAUCUAAUACAACGUUUUGUACUCUUCAUGACACAUAGCUGUCGGGGAUUCAAAUCACAAGAUAGAAUGUAAUACGCCCCGGGGAGUGGGUGGACCCCAUAUACCCUUGAAACAGAAGGAUGUUGCUGAGAUGGUCCAGUGCCUUACCCUGUCACUCAGAUGCUCAGUCAGAAAAUAAAAGCUCUGGUUGAACUGGCUUUGAACUGUCCCUCAGGGCCUUCAUGCUUUCCCAACAGCCCUCACAGAGUCACUUCCACUAUGUCGCAGUCACCUGGGGAUGACACUCUAAAGACUCUUCAUUCUGAGAACAUUGAACAAAAGUUUUUGUGUUUUGGGAAAGGACCCUUGCACUCCCUACACAUGACUUUUCUACCCUGGGGUGGUUCUUGAAGACAACUUCCCCAAGCAGUCGUCAGAAGGGGUGCUCACACUGUCUCUUGUCACAUGUGGUUCAUAUGCUCAGCCACAGCUCAGUCAUGCGUAUGUGCUCUGGCCCUUGUGACAUCUCCUGAGGCCAGCAGGAUGCUGGCAAGCCCAGUGUCUGCUCAAACUUAUCUUUUAGUUUCUCUUCAGAGUCUCAGAAAAACACAGGUGGAAAUCUGCGCUCGAUAUUGCGGGAAACACAAGUUGUAUGUAUAAAAUUUUGCCAAAACCCCAGUGAAAUUCUAAAAUUUAAACAUAUUUUAAAAAAAUAAUGUUUAAAUGUUUUUAUGCUGAAAAUACUCAAAUUGUGCUUGCCUCUCAAAUACAGUGAGAAUAAAAAUUGCUUACAGUC